rnacentral:rRNA from 1 species
CCUGUUUAACAAAAACAUGUCUUUUUGAGUUAAUUUUAAAGUCUGACCUGCCCACUGAAAUUUUAAAUGGCCGCAGUAUUUUAACUGUGCAAAGGUAGCAUAAUCAUUAGUCUUUUAAUUGAAGGCUGGUAUGAACGGUUGGACGAGGUAUAUACUGUUUCAUGUAAAUUUAUAUUAGAAUUUUAUAUUUUAGUCAAAAAGCUAAAAUAAUAUUAAAAGACGAGAAGACCCUAUAAAUCUUUAUAGUUAAUAGAAUUUAAAUUUUUUGGAUUUAUUUUAUUUUUAUUAUAUUAAAUAUUUUGUUGGGGUGAUGUUAAAAUUUAAUGAACUUUUAAUUAUUUAAGAUCAUUUAUUUAUGAAUUAUUGAUCCAUUAUUAGUGAUUAUAAGAUUAAGUUACUUUAGGGAUAACAGCGUAAUUUUUUUGGAGAGUUCAUAUCGAUAAARAAGUUUGCGACCUCGAUGUUGGAUUAAGAUAUAUUUUUAGGUGUAGUUGCUUAAAU